GACGUAGGGUGCAAGCGUUGUCCGGAUUUAUUGGGCGUAAAGAGCUCGUAGGUGGUUCGGUAAGUCGGGUGUGAAACCUCCAGGCUCAACCUGGAGACGCCACCCGAUACUGCUGUGACUGGAGUCCGGUAGGGGAGCGUGGAAUUCCUGGUGUAGCGGUGAAAUGCGCAGAUAUCAGGAGGAACACCAGCGGCGAAGGCGGCGCUCUGGGCCGGUACUGACACUGAGGAGCGAAAGCGUGGGUAGCAAACAGG
rnacentral:rRNA from 1 species